UCUGAGAUUCUAGAAGUAGAGUUUAGAUUUCCCUCACCAACGCUUAGAUUAUUUGCUUCAAAAGGAGCCGCUCACCUGGGGCCUUCGCCUGAGACCUGGAACCUACCUACGUGAUGCAUCCUUUGGAAAGGGAUCCAAGAAAGAGGGGAAGAAAAGUGCAUUUACCUGUCCAAGGCUGGGAAUGAAAAUGGGUGGGUCGGAGGCCAGCCAGGUUUUACUUUCCCUUCUCUUUCUUUUUCCUCUCUCUCUCUCUCUCUCUCUCUCUCUCUCUCUCUCUCUCUCUCUCUCUCUGUGGGCAGAGGCCAGGUUCCCUGGGGAAGGAUGGACAGAGAGACAGCUCCAGCUUGCUGCCCUGGAUGUGUGUGUGUGUGUAUGUUUGGCCAGGAGGGAGCCCCCACAAUCUCCCCUGAGAGAACCUAGGAGGCUGCAGGUGAGCCCCAGGACAGGUGAUUAGAAGGUGAGGCCCCGGCAGAGGAGACUUAAGGGUGACUUCUGGGCUGCUGGGGGAGAAGGAAAUGCCAAGCCAAGAAUUCUCCUGGAAGAAGCAGAACGGAGAUGGUACAAAAGUACCUCUUAUGGAGGAUACUGAAUAUGGGAGAAAAUUUGGAUAAGUCAUUUGAAGUACCGAGGAUUGCAAAGGCAAGUUUAAAUAAUAGGGCUAUUGCAAUGCUUUCUGAGGAUUGGGAGAUCUAUUAACUAUGUGGCUUUUUAAAUUUUUAUUUUAUUGCUUAGAAUAAACAAGUUUGGGUGGAGGUGAAUUGCUCUGUAAAUUUGCAUAAUAUUUUCUACUUUUCUUCCAUAUAGUACUGGCUCUGUAGAAAAAAAAGUAAUCUGAGUUUUAUUAAGGGGAAAGAAUUUUGGAGGAAAAAAAGUGUCACAUGAUUGUGGGAUGUGUAAUAUAAAGUAUCCUCUUUGAUACCCAUACAACACUUCAGCAAAGCACCCUGUGCUUACUAGGACUCUUUCUUCUUCUUUUUUUUAUGGUUUCAGUUUUAAAAAAUUUGUUCUAAUUAGUUAUACAUGAUAGUAGAAUGCAUUUUGACACAUUGUAUACAAAUGAAGCAUAACUUUUCAUUCCUUUGGCGGCACUUGGUGCUGAGUCACAUCAGUAGUAUAAUCAUACAUGCAUAUAGGGUAAUAAUGUCUGUUUCAUUCUACCUAUUUGUUUGAGGUAAGGGACAGAGUGGAAGAGAACCAAAGGGAUGCACAAAGGUGACCUGUGGUGGAUGUGCUAGACAAAAUGUUUAGAGAAUUAGACAAGAGUUGACAUCAAGGUGACAUCAAUCUCUGAGAUUGUCAUUCAUUUGGACUGGAGUGAGACUUGGACAUGAACAUUUUUUUCAAGAUCCAAAUGAGUGUAAACAUGUGCAGCCAAGAUUGAGAACUAAAGUGGAAAAUCUAACCUAAUCCAGACAAGACAAUCGUGUGCCUUUAAAGGAUCUAACAGCAAGAAUUAGGAGUGCCCUGGAGGCAAGGUAAAAUUUGGCCCAUGUAAUCAAUCAUAUCUGCUUCACUGAACUGUAAUGACCCUGAGUACAGAAGACAUCUUCAGUGGGACAGACUCACUGCCAUGAAGUCCUUAACAUUUUGUGGGUUAGAAAGCAGUUUUUACAUUUAGAUUCUGCCUUGUUUAGUCAUAGUCUACUCUUCUCCUCUUAGGUAUAGGUGAGUCUAUUGGUGUGUAGUUAUGAUAGUAUAUCAAAAUAUAAAUAUCAGUAGAUCAGAAGAUGAGCUGGCCUUUUAAAAAAUACGUCUCUGAUUCUUCAAGUUAAAGAACAGAAUCAAUUGCACAUAGUCCCCAACAUCACAAUAGCCACUUACAAACAGUAGAUAGUUUUAGUUGCCCUGGAUUUCAUCAAGAUUGAUUCCUCCCAAACCAAGUAACGUCAAAGACUUGGAGGUAGAUAUAUGACCUUGAAGAACAAUUUCCAGGAGACACAAAGUAAAACAAUUUUCUAGUGUCAGCACUAGGGUAAAAGGCUAUAAUGUUGUCAGACUCACCAAAUUAUAAUAGCAACCAAUAAAACUAUUACAAAUGGCAGCUUAGUAGGGGAAGUCAUUUUAUCAUUGAGCUUUCUGGUUUCUGUUUUUAUUGAAGUUCAGAUACAUACCUUGUAUUUUUUGGAACCAUGGAGAGGUGAUAUUAAGUCUGUAAAAUCUAGGAACUUCUUUGCAUACACUUCCCAUACUUUCAUAUAUCAUAAAAGAGAAAUUGAGGGAAAAAUCAGUAGUCAACGU